CAAAAUCGUUGACAUGGUAGAUGGACACUGCAGUACAAUAUUUAUAGCUGAACUGGAAAUUACAAUUGAUAAGAUAUCACAUUGGUUUGAGCAUGAUUCCCAGCCAGAUUAUGAAGGGGCAUAUAUCAUGUAUACAUAGGAAAUAUAUAGUGUCACUAAAUUACUCAAAUACAGUACCUCAUUUGUACCUGUAGCUGUAAA